rnacentral:misc_RNA from 1 species
GAUGAAGAACGUAGCGAAAUGCGAUAAGUAGUGUGAAUUGCAGAAUUCAGUGAAUCAUCGAAUCUUUGAACGCACAUUGCGCCCGCCAGUAUUCUGGCGGGCAUGCCUGUUCGAGCGUCAUUUCAACCAUCAAGCCCCCGGCUUGUGUUGGGGACCUGCGGCUGCCGCAGGCCCUGAAAAGCAGUGGCGGGCUCGCUGUCACACCGAGCGUAGUAGCAUACAUCUCGCUCUGGGCGUGCUGCGGGUUCCGGCCGUUAAACCACCUUCAUAACCCAAGGUUGACCUCGGAUCAGGUAGGAAGACCCGCUGAACUUAAGCAUAUCAAAAGCGGAGGA